rnacentral:rRNA from 1 species
CAGCCGCCGCGGUAAUACGUAGGGUGCGAGCGUUAAUCGGAAUUACUGGGCGUAAAGCGGGCGCAGACGGUUACUUAAGCAGGAUGUGAAAUCCCCGGGCUCAACCUGGGAACUGCGUUCUGAACUGGGUGACUAGAGUGUGUCAGAGGGAGGUAGAAUUCCACGUGUAGCAGUGAAAUGCGUAGAGAUGUGGAGGAAUACCGAUGGCGAAGGCAGCCUCCUGGGAUAGCACUGACGUUCAUGCCCGAAAGCGUGGGUAGCAAACAGGAUUAGAGACCCCAGUAGUCCCUGUCUCUUAUAC